rnacentral:rRNA from 1 species
GAUGAACGCUGGCGGCAUGCCUAAUACAUGCAAGUCGAGCGACCGGACGAGAAGCUUGCUCCUCUGAUGUUAGCGGCUGACGGGCGGGUAACACGUGGAUAACCUUCCUAUAUUACUGGGAUAACUUCGGGAAACCGGAGCUACUACUGGCUAAUAUUUUGUACCGCAUGGUUCAAAAGUGAAAGACGGUUUUGCCGUCUCUUAUAGCUGGAUCCGCGUUGCAUUAGCUAGUUGGUAAGGUAACGGCUUACCAAGGCAACGAUGCAUAGCCGACCUGAGAGGGUGAUCGGCCACACUGGAACUGAGACACGGUCCAGACUCCUACGGGAGGCAGCAGUGGGGAAUCUUCGGCAAUGGGCGAAAGCCUGACGGAGCAACACCGCGUGAGUGAUGAAGGUCUUCGGAUCGUAAAGCUCUGUUGUUAGGGAAGAACAUAUGUGUAAGUAACUGUGCACGUCUUGACGGUACCUAAUCAGAAAGCCACGGCUAACUACGUG